UCUCUCUCUCUAUCACACACAGAUGUGCAGAAGUGCAUAUGCACAGAACCCCAUCAUGAACUUUGUCUUCCUUUCGGGUAUACAGGAAAAUAACAGUGUGAGUAUAAAAGGGGGGAGCAGAGGGAGUUGUUGUUGUUCCAAAAGCUACUGCUAGACAGAGCUGAACUGACUAAGGAGGGACAUUUUAACAGAGGUCUCUCUCUUCUACUCACACACACUCAGCAGAUCGAGCCUGCUGCAAGGCACCGUGAUGAAGGCGGGGCUCAGCCUGCUCCUGGCUCUCUGCCUGCUCCCUGGGGGCGGAGCAGAGAGUGAGGGGGAGGGGACCCGCUGUAAGCCACCACCUGGUUGGAGCAUUGGGGAGGUGGAGCCAAUGAAGGGGGUUAUGGGCCAGGUCACGGUGGUGGCCCUCCUCCAGGCCAGCUGAUCGUUCUGCUUGGUGCAGGCAUCCUUAUUGGAUGAGCUGCGCCUGAAGCUGGAGGGCCAGGGUCUGGACAAUGUGACCUAUAUGGUGGUGAACCACCAGGGGGAGCAGGCCCAGCACCUUCACACCUUGCUGAGCCAGAAACUGUCUGAGAACAUCAUAUUGUACAAACAGGUACCCAAACAGGAUGACGUGUGGCAGGCCCUGGCUGGAAAGAAGGAUGACUUCCUCAUCUAUGACAGGUGUGGUCGUCUGACCCACCAUAUCUUCCUCCCCUUUUCCAUCCUGGGUACUCCCUACGUAGAGAACGCCAUUAAGGAGACCUACUGCCAACGCAUCUGUGGGGACUGCACGUAUGAGAACACAGAGAUCCCAGCAGAGUGCAACAGGAUGUUAGAGGUAAAGCCUGAGGGAGAAGAGAAGCCAGUCACUGGAGGGGAUACACCUCACGGUGGACGCGGCCAUCAUCACCAUGGCAAUGGGCACGGUCACCAUGGCAAAAGCCAUGGUCACGGUCACGGUCACCAUGGCGAGAGUGAGGUGGGGCGCGAACACGGUCGUGGCCAUGGGGUGGAGCAGCAGCAGCACCAAAAUGGCGCUGAGGGGCUCCACCAUGGCCAGGCCCAUGGCCAAGUGCACGUUGGUCAGGAGCAUAUGGGUCAGCAGCCCAAGGAGGUGCAGGAAGGGCAUAUUAUGCAGAGGCCCUGAGUGAAGGGGAGGGCCAGGUGAAAGGCAGAGCUCAGCUGACAUUUGAAGGAGGGGUCUGACAUAAGUCCCUCCUCCAAGGUCAGCUGAUGCUGACACUGACGGGGGCUGUUUGGCAAUGGGGUGCGCAACGAGCCAAUCGGGCUCUGACACUGUGAUGAGGCGCUGCCCGCCUCCUGACAGUGACAGGGACUGAUGGGCGACUCCAACAAUCACAUCAGGGAGACCUGACAGUGACGCUUGCCCCCCACAGACUGACAGCAGCCUCUGCCAGUGAUGUCAGCCUGAUCCCCGGGUGUUGAAACCUGAAGCUGAGAGCAGCUGUAAGCAGGGCCAUGGCUCUGUGAAAGUUAUCUUGCUUAUAGGCCUCAUAUUAACAUCUGUGAGACCAACACCGGGGCAAAGGGCUCAUACCAUCUUACCAACUAGUAUUGCUCCGGUACUGUAAAGCCACACUUGAUAGAGAGGGAUGGAGGAAUACAUUGGGUCUGGUAGAAGAAUGCUAAGCCUAAACCUGUUACGAUAUGGGGAAUAGGAUGGUAUUUGAGAUGUACCCAAAGGGAUAGUAUGACAUCAAGGAAGGUAGCCUCCACCCUCUCUUUCUCUGUCGGUGCAUUGGUGUCACCAUCCCGGGAGUGUAUUGGGUGACUAUUUUGAUGUUUCUCCCCCUCCGUUUUGCUCCCUCCAUCCAAAAUGAAGGUAGGCACAGAAACUACGCUGUAGUGGUGUCUGUCUGAUGUCCGGCUGGGGAGAGGGGAGGGUGAGGGCCAUACAAUAUGACCACCCCCUUAAUUCAAAGUUCAUAAUAUCGAGAGCUUUAGAAGGAGUAUGAAGGAGUAGCGUCCAAUGUUGAAAUAAACUGAAAUCAUGGCCAGAAAUGCAAGAUUUGAACCAAAGUUAGACAUUGUUAUAUUCAGCGUUAGUUAGACAUUGUUAUAUUCAGCGUUAGUUAGACAUUGUUAUAUUCAGCGUUAGUUAGACAUUGUUAUACUCAGCGUUAGUUAGACAUUGUUAUACUCAGCGUUAGUUAGACAUUGUUAUACUCAGCGUUAGUUAGACAUUGUUAUAUUCAGUGUUAGUUAGACAUUGUUAUACUCAGCGUUAGUUAGACAUUGUUAUACUCAGCGUUAGUUAGACAUUGUUAUAUUCAGCGUUAGUUAGACAUUGUUAUACUCAGCGUUAGUUAGACAUUGUUAUAUUCAGCGUUAGUUAGACAUUGUUAUACUCAGCGUUAGUUAGACAUUGUUAUACUCAGCGUUAGUUAGACAUUGUUAUAUUCAGCGUUAGUUAGACAUUGUUAUACUCAGCGUUAGUUAGACAUUGUUAUACUCAGCGUUAGUUAGACAUUGUUAUAUUCAGCGUUAGUUAGACAUUGUUAUACUCAGCGUUAGUUAGACAUUGUUAUACUCAGCGUUAGUUAGACAUUGUUAUAUUCAGCGUUAGUUAGACAUUGUUAUAUUCAGCGUUAGUUAAACAUUGUUAUAUUCAAUGUUAGUUAGAUAUUGUUAUAUUCAGCGUUAGUUAAACAUUGUUAUAUUCAGUGUUAACAAAACACAUUUGAAUAAAAUACAUUAUUGAUAGAGUAAGAUUUUUCUAUUAUGACCCCAUCAACCUUUUCAACUUUUUCUUCAACUAAAAAUCUAAUGUCACUCCUUUCAAGCAACAACAUUUAUUUGUACCUUUGAAUUAACGCUGUGUUUAUUAAAGCAGUAGUGUGUUUUGUAGACAAAAUUCAAUAUUCAUAGCGUACAGCUGUGAUAAUGUGUGUUUAGUUUUCCAUGUUUCUGUCACUGUUAUUGCUGUUGGCAAUAUUACACAUAUCUAUAAUGCACUGUUCAUGAACUAACAAAACAAAGUGACCGCUUUUCAACCAACAAAAAAACAGCUGGAAUGAAGGUGGGUAGAGAGAAAUAUUGAAUAUACUGUACUUAAUGAAGGUCUCUGGGGAAGACUACGGUCACCUAGAACACCCUAUGCUUUGUACAGAACAAAUUCUUUCUGACUGUGGAGUGUAGGUGGUGGAACAUGUAAGAAAAUAUCAAUAAAGGUGGUUGAUGCACUCAUA